rnacentral:misc_RNA from 1 species
GGAAGGAUCAUUACUCAAGAAAGGGAAACCGGACUGUCAGCUUUUCAGAUCGCCUCCCCUCCUUGGGAGGCGGCUGGACUGCUUCAAACCCCUGUGAACCAAAGAAAACCUUUUCGCUUCGGCAGCUGGGCCCUCACAAGCCCGUCAGCCUGCCGCCGGCACCAAACCUUUCAAACCUGUCGUAGAAAACUUUGUCUGAUGACCAAAAAAAAAAACCUCGAAUGAAAAUCAAAACUUUCAACAACGGAUCUCUUGGUUCUCGCAUCGAUGAAGAACGCAGCGAAACGCGAUAGUUAAUGUGAAUUGCAGAAUUCAGUGAAUCAUCGAGUCUUUGAACGCACAUUGCGCCCAUUGGUAUUCCUUUGGGCAUGUCUGUUUGAGCGUCAUUACAGCUGUCCACGAACUCAAUAACUUAAACUGGUGGUUUUUGAACCUGAACGGCCAACGCCGUGUCCGGUUUUAAAGUUGUCAGCUCUGCUGGCCGCUCUGCCCAACCAGGACAUAGUAAGCACUACUUGUCCGAGGGUUAAGCUUGAGCGGUACGGCCUGAACGCAACAAAACCUACCCAUUCUCAAAUUCAUACCUCAGAUCAGACAAGGAUACCCGCUGAACUUAAGCAUAUCAAUAAGCGGAGGAAAAGAAACCAACAGGGAUUGCCUCAGUAACGGCGAGUGAAGCGGCAACAGCUCAAAUUUGGAAUCUGGAGCCUUCGGCUUCCGAGUUGUAAUUUGAAGAGGAUGUUUCGGAGCGGCCUUGGCCCAAGUUCCCUGGAACAGGACGUCAUGGAGGGUGAGAACCCCGUACCCGGCCGCAGGCUUCGCUCCAUGUGAAACUCCCUCGACGAGUCGAGUUGUUUGGGAAUGCAGCUCUAAAUGGGUGGUAAAUUUCAUCUAAAGCUAAAUAUUGGCCGGAGACCGAUAGCGCACAAGUAGAGUGAUCGAAAGAUGAAAAGCACUUUGAAAAGAGAGUUAAAAAGCACGUGAAAUUGUUGAAAGGGAAGCGCUUGCAAUCAGACUCGCUUGCGGUUGAUCAGCCUUCCUUCUGGUUGGUGCACUCUGCCGUUGGCGGGCCAGCAUCAGUUGGGGCGGUGGGACAAAGGCGUCAGGAAUGUGGCUCGCUUCGGCGAGUGUUAUAGCCUGGCGUGUCAUGCCACCAGCCCCGACUGAGGUCCGCGGUUCGUCCUAGGAUGCUGGCUUAAUGGUUGUAAGCGACCCGUCUUGAAACACGGACCAAGGAGUCUAACAUCUAUGCGAGUCUUUGGGUGUCAAACCCAUGGGCGGAAUGAAAGUGAACGGAGGUGGGAGCCCUCACGGGUGCACCAUCGACCGAUCCUGAUGUUCUCGGAUGGAUUUGAGUAGGAGCAUAGCUGUUGGGACCCGAAAGAUGGUGAACUAUGCCUGAAUAGGGUGAAGCCAGAGGAAACUCUGGUGGAGGCUCGCAGCGGUUCUGACGUGCAAAUCGAUCGUCAAAUUUGGGUAUAGGGGCGAAAGACUAAUCGAACCAUCUAGUAGCUGGUUCCUGC